UGGGGAAUUUUGGACAAUGGGGGAAACCCUGAUCCAGCCAUCCCGCGUGUGCGAUGAAGGCCUUCGGGUUGUAAAGCACUUUUGGCAGGAAAGAAACGUCGCGGGUUAAUACCCCGCGAAACUGACGGUACCUGCAGAAUAAGCACCGGCUAACUACGUGCCAGCAGCCGCGGUAAUACGUAGGGUGCAAGCGUUAAUCGGAAUUACUGGGCGUAAAGCGUGCGCAGGCGGUUCGGAAAGAAAGAUGUGAAAUCCCAGAGCUUAACUUUGGAACUGCAUUUUUAACUACCGGGCUAGAGUGUGUCAGAGGGAGGUGGAAUUCCGCGUGUAGCAGUGAAAUGCGUAGAUAUGCGGGGGAACACCGAUGGCGAAGGCAGCCUCCUGGGAUAACACUGACGCUCAUGCACGAAAGCGUGGGGAGCAAACAGGAUUAGAUACCCUGGUAGUCCACGCCCUAAACGAUGUCAACUAGCUGUUGGGGCCUUCGGGCCUUGGUAGCGCAGCUAACGCGUGAAGUUGACCGCCUGGGGAGUACGGUCGCAAGAUUAAAACUUAAAUGAAUUGACGGGGUCAU
rnacentral:rRNA from 1 species